rnacentral:rRNA from 1 species
UGGGGAAUCUUGGACAAUGGGCGCAAGCCUGAUCCAGCCAUGCCGCGUGAGCGAUGACGGCCUUAGGGUUGUAAAGCUCUUUCACCGGUGACGAUAAUGACGGUAGCCGGAGAAGAAGCCCCGGCUAACUCCGUGCCAGCAGCCGCGGUAAUACGGAGGGGGCUAGCGUUGUUCGGAAUUACUGGGCGUAAAGCGCGCGUAGGCGGACCUUUAAGUCGGGGGUGAAAUCCCGGGGCUCAACCCCGGAACUGCCUUCGAUACUGGGGGUCUUGAGGUCGAGAGAGGCGAGUGGAAUUCCGAGUGUAGAGGUGAAAUUCGUAGAUAUUCGGAGGAACACCAGUGGCGAAGGCGGCUCGCUGGCUCGAUACUGACGCUGAGGUGCGAAAGCGUGGGGAGCAAACAGGAUUAGAUACCCCCGUAGUCC